rnacentral:rRNA from 1 species
GGGCAUACACCAAUGUACCAAACCCUAUCAAACUCCGAAUACCUUAUAUGUAAUCACAGCAGUCAGGCGGCGAGUGAUAAAAUCCGUCGUCAAGAGGGAAACAACCCAGACUACCAGCUAAGGUCCCUAAAUCUUACUUAAGUGGAAAACGAUGUGAAGUUACUUAAACAACCAGGAGGUUGGCUUAGAAGCAGCCAUCCUUUAAAGAAAGCGUAAUAGCUCACUGGUCUAGUGAUUUUGCGCGGAAAAUAUAACGGGGCUAAAGUAAGUACCGAAGCUGUAGACUUAGUUUACUAAGUGGUAGGAGAGCGUUCUAUUUGCGUCGAAGGUAUACCGGUAAGGAGUGCUGGAGCGAAUAGAAGUGAGCAUGCAGGCAUGAGUAGCGAUAAUUAAUGUGAGAAUCAUUAACGCCGUAAACCCAAGGUUUCCUACGCGAUGCUCGUCAUCGUAGGGUUAGUCGGGUCCUAAGUCGAGUCCGAAAGGGGUAGACGAUGGCAAAUUGGUUAAUAUUCCAAUACCAACAUUAGUGUGCGAUGGAAGGACGCUUAGGGCUAAGGGGGCUAGCGGAUGGAAGUGCUAGUCUAAGGUCGUAGGAGGUUAUACAGGCAAAUCCGUAUAACAAUACUCCGAGAACUGAAAGGCUUUUUGAAGUCUUCGGAUGGAUAGAAGAACCCCUGAUGCCAUCGAGCCAAGAAAAGUUUCUAAGUUUAGCUAAUGUUGCCCGUACCGUAAACCGACACAGGUGGGUGGGAUGAGUAUUCUAAGGCGCGUGGAAGAACUCUCUUUAAGGAACUCUGCAAAAUAGCACCGUAUCUUCGGUAUAAGGUGUGGUUCGCUUCGUAUUAGGAUUUACUCCGAAAGCGAAGAAACUUACAACAAAGAGUCCCUCCCGACUGUUUACCAAAAACACAGCACUCUGCUAACUCGUAAGAGGAUGUAUAGGGUGUGACGCCUGCCCGGUGCUCGAAGGUUAAUUGAUGGGGUUAGCAUUAGCGAAGCUCUUGAUCGAAGCCCGAGUAAACGGCGGCCGUAACUAUAACGGUCCUAAGGUAGCGAAAUUCCUUGUCGGUUAAAUACCGACCUGCAUGAAUGGCGUAACGAGAUGGGAGCUGUCUCAAAGAGGGAUCCAGUGAAAUUGUAGUGGAGGUGAAAAUUCCUCCUACCCGCGGCAAGACGGAAAGACCCCGUGGACCUUUACUACAGCUUGACACUGCUAUUUGGAUAAGAAUGUGCAGGAUAGGUGGGAGGCUUUGAGUAUAUGACGCCAGUUGUAUAUGAGCCAUUGUUGAGAUACCACUCUUUCUUAUUUGGGUAGCUAACCAGCUUGAGUUAUCCUCAAGUGGGACAAUGUCUGGUGGGUAGUUUGACUGGGGCGGUCGCCUCCCAAAUAAUAACGGAGGCUUACAAAGGUUGGCUCAGAACGGUUGGAAAUCGUUCGUAGAGUAUAAAGGUAUAAGCCAGCUUAACUGCAAGACAUACAAGUCAAGCAGAGACGAAAGUCGGUCUUAGUGAUCCGGUGGUUCUGUGUGGAAGGGCCAUCGCUCAAAGGAUAAAAGGUACCCCGGGGAUAACAGGCUGAUCUCCCCCAAGAGCUCACAUCGACGGGGAGGUUUGGCACCUCGAUGUCGGCUCAUCGCAUCCUGGGGCUGGAGCAGGUCCCAAGGGUAUGGCUGUUCGCCAUUUAAAGCGGUACGCGAGCUGGGUUCAGAACGUCGUGAGACAGUUCGGUCCCUAUCUGCCGUGGGCGUAAGAAGAUUGAAGAGAUUUGACCCUAGUACGAGAGGACCGGGUUGAACAAACCACUGGUGUAGCUGUUGUUCUGCCAAGAGCAUCGCAGCGUAGCUAAGUUUGGAAAGGAUAAACGCUGAAAGCAUCUAAGCGUGAAGCCAACUCUAAGAUGAAUCUUCUCUAAGCUCUCUAGAAGACUACUAGUUUGAUAGGCUGGGUGUGUAAUGGAUGAAAGUCCUUUAGCUGACCAGUACUAAUAGAGCGUUUGGCUUAUCUUUAAUAAAGCAU